CAUGUACCAAGCAGUACAAUAUUUGUCAGAACCAAUCAGAUCAAGCAGAUUGGUGUGUGCAUCACCCACUCGCCCUAUAAACUCGUUGAAGCCUGUCUGUUGUCAUACUUUUCGAGAGAAUUCGUCAGUUUUAUAUUUGCUGUUACAUUUGUUGAAGGCAAUAAUAAAAUCUCAAUUGCUUUGACAAAAUUGUGUGAGGAUCGUUGAAAUCGGUUGUAGCUGGAUCUUUCCAAUUUUACAUUUUGAAUAAUUAAAACAACAUUUGAAUACCUCCAAAAAUGUGUCCUAAACCAUCGAAAAACAAAGCCAAGGGAAAAGAAGUGAUGAAGAAUAAGCAGAAUGGUAUUAAUAACAGUGAAAAUAGCAAGGUCGUCGCCAGGAAAAAGUCCAAGGGUAAUAUAAAACACGAUAAGAGGAUGAUGAAGAAGAAAGCUAAGUCUGCAACGGAAGCGCCGGAUGAUAGUAAAUUUAAAAAACCUCCUGGCGUUGAGAUGUGUCAAACAAGUGACAGGAGCUCCACCGAGGAGACUAUUGAACCUGGCGAGAAUGAUGGUCGUGGUAAUGAUCUUGAUAUAUCCAACCAAGUAGAGUCAGCUUUUGUACAAUCAAUUAUCGGGAAAACUGGGCUGAAGGUCGGUCGAGAUAAAGAAGAUGUUUUGAGACCUGUUAAAUUGAACUUAACGGAGGAAGAACUCCAGGAGGAGUGUUUAGAUGGCUUCAAACGUGUUAAAAAGGGGAAAAUUGCCAAAGGAGGAAUAAAUAAAACAUCCGAGGGUUUUGGUUUCGAGGCGUACAAAUAUAUUAUAGAAGGGAAGCCUGAUAGAGGAACCGAGUUCUUAACUAGAGCACUUGCGUUAGAUUCCUCUGAUAUUCGACAUUAUUUCAAUAGAAGUUACUCACAAUUAUGCAGUGGAAAUUACGAAGAAGCUCUCAGAGAUAUACAAUUUGUAAUGACUCAUACUGAUGAUACUAUAAACUUAUCAAGGCUGAAAUGUAGACAAGGUCAAAUAUUUAUGCGAAUGGAGGAGUUCGAGAAGGCUGAGCAGUGCUUCAAAGAAUGCCUGAACCUAUUCCCCAAUAAUAAAGUAGUCCGUUGUGAGCUUUUCCGUUCGAAAAUAGGUAAAUUUCAAAAUAUGGGUUUCUCAGAAACCGACAUAAUCAACCUUCUCUAUGACAUUCCUUAUUCCACUUUCCACGAGGCUAUCGAAUUCCUUACUGAUCUAGCAAAGACCAGGAACAUCGAAGACUCUCCUGAAAAUUCCAUCUCCAUUUCGGAUGCUGACAUAUAUGAAUCAGACAGUGAAGAAAAUCCCUCCUAUGCACGAUUAUUCAUGGAGAUGGCAAAUUUUUCUUCUUUCGCUAAGGAUGACCUGCCGUAUAGAGAGCCUAAUGAAAAUAAAAAUACUUCAUCUACUUCUGAUAGUAAAGUAGUUCGUAGAGGACAGUCAGAAUAUCAAUCUUCCGAAAUAGCUCAACACAUAACUCCAUCACCUGCGAUUAGAGAGUUGAGAGUUAUAAAUGCCUCCGGUGCGAAGAAAGCUGUUCUCAAGACUCCACCUAAGAUCAAUGUGAAUAAUAGAGCUGUAUGGGUUGGAUCACUAACCAGUGCCAUCACUGAAUCUGCUCUUAAACGCGCAUUCUCCUGUUAUGGACGUGUUGCUAGUGUCUACCGAACUCCAGACAGUACUUGUGCAUUUGUUAAUUUUGAAAAUGCAGCGUCAGCUAAACUCGCCCUUGAUGCUCAAUCACUUAACGUCAAUGGGCAGCUUUUACCCAUCAGGCUCAACCGAAGGGCGAAGUAAAUCCCUGAUGGAAACUUCUAGGUCAUCCAGAAUUAAUGGUCCCUGGACAAUUUUUUCCCAGAAAAUGAUUUCCUAGGAAAAUUAUCUUCCGAAGCAAUAGUACUGGAAUUUUGAGUGUUCCAGAAAGAGUUACCGCCUACAAGAUAAACCAAACAUCGAAGAGACCAAAAACAAGUAUCAAAUUGCUAUUUUUUUCAUUCAUGUUUUGUUUUUGUUAUCUUAUACUGCAAUUUCAGUUAUGUAGGAUAAUUCGAUUGAAUUCACUUGAUUAUCCUUAUUAUUACAAAAACAUUAGGAUUCUUUUCAAACCAGAGACGCACUACAUUAUCUUUGAUCUUCUUGAUGAAGAUUUCCAAAGACUAAUGUAGCUAUUAUUCAUUCAAUUAUUUUAUAAAAUCUAAUGAGUUAAGUAAAGUGGAGGAUGCAGUGAAGUAUUUAGAGUAUAGAAACACAUGUUUUAUUGUAUGGAUAAUUUUUUUUUCAUUUAUUUACAUUAUAAUUCAAUGAUGUACGUUUAAAAUAAAUGCCAUUACAUGCACAUUA